AUUUAAAUCUUCAUCUGAAUGAAAUAACAUGAUUUUUGAGUCAUCGUAGAACUUCUUUAAGUAAAAAUAGGUUAAAGAAGAUGGAAAAAAAACGAAAGAG